rnacentral:rRNA from 1 species
UUAAGCGACUAAGCGUACACGGUGGAUGCCCUGGCAGUCAGAGGCGAUGAAGGACGUGCUAAUCUGCGAUAAGCGUCGGUAAGGUGAUAUGAACCGUUAUAACCGGCGAUUUCCGAAUGGGGAAACCCAGUGUGUUUCGACACACUAUCAUUACGUGAAUACAUAGCGUAAUGAAGCGAACCGGGGGAACUGAAACAUCUAAGUACCCCGAGGAAAAGAAAUCAACCGAGAUUCCCCCAGUAGCGGCGAGCGAACGGGGAGCAGCCCAGAGUCUGAAUCAGCUUGUGUGUUAGUGGAACGGUCUGGAAAGUCCGACGGUACAGGGUGAUAGUCCCGUACACCAAAAUGCACAGGUUGUGAACUCGAAGAGUAGGGCGGGACACGUGGUAUCCUGUCUGAAUAUGGGGGGACCAUCCUCCAAGGCUAAAUACUCCUGACUGACCGAUAGUGAACCAGUACCGUGAGGGAAAGGCGAAAAGAACCCCGGCGAGGGGAGUGAAAAAGAACCUGAAACCGUGUACGUACAAGCAGUGGGAGCCUCUUUAUGGGGUGACUGCGUACCUUUUGUAUAAUGGGUCAGCGACUUAUAUUCUGUAGCAAGGUUAACCGUAUAGGGGAGCCGAAGGGAAACCGAGUCUUAACUGGGCGUUAAGUUGCAGGGUAUAGACCCGAAACCCGGUGAUCUAGCCAUGGGCAGGUUGAAGGUUGGGUAACACUAACUGGAGGACCGAACCGACUAAUGUUGAAAAAUUAGCGGAUGACUUGUGGCUGGGGGUGAAAGGCCAAUCAAACCGGGAGAUAGCUGGUUCUCCCCGAAAGCUAUUUAGGUAGCGCCUCGUGAACUCAUCUUCGGGGGUAGAGCACUGUUUCGGCUAGGGGGUCAUCCCGACUUACCAACCCGAUGCAAACUGCGAAUACCGAAGAAUGUUAUCACGGGAGACACACGGCGGGUGCUAACGUCCGUCGUGAAGAGGGAAACAACCCAGACCGCCAGCUAAGGUCCCAAAGUCAUGGUUAAGUGGGAAACGAUGUGGGAAGGCACAGACAGCCAGGAUGUUGGCUUAGAAGCAGCCAUCAUUUAAAGAAAGCGUAAUAGCUCACUGGUCGAGUCGGCCUGCGCGGAAGAUGUAACGGGGCUAAACCAUGCACCGAAGCUGCGGCAGCGACACUAUGUGUUGUUGGGUAGGGGAGCGUUCUGUAAGCCGUUGAAGGUGUACUGUGAGGUAUGCUGGAGGUAUCAGAAGUGCGAAUGCUGACAUAAGUAACGAUAAUGCGGGUGAAAAACCCGCACGCCGGAAGACCAAGGGUUCCUGUCCAACGUUAAUCGGGGCAGGGUGAGUCGACCCCUAAGGCGAGGCCGAAAGGCGUAGUCGAUGGGAAACAGGUUAAUAUUCCUGUACUUGGUGUUACUGCGAAGGGGGGACGGAGAAGGCUAUGUUAGCCGGGCGACGGUUGUCCCGGUUUAAGCAUGUAGGCGGAGGUUCCAGGUAAAUCCGGUACCUUUUAACGCUGAGGUGUGAUGACGAGGCACUACGGUGCUGAAGUAACAAAUGCCCUGCUUCCAGGAAAAGCCUCUAAGCAUCAGGUAACACGAAAUCGUACCCCAAACCGACACAGGUGGUCAGGUAGAGAAUACCAAGGCGCUUGAGAGAACUCGGGUGAAGGAACUAGGCAAAAUGGUGCCGUAACUUCGGGAGAAGGCACGCUGAUAUGUAGGUGAAGCGGUUUACCCGUGGAGCUGAAAUCAGUCGAAGAUACCAGCUGGCUGCAACUGUUUAUUAAAAACACAGCACUGUGCAAACACGAAAGUGGACGUAUACGGUGUGACGCCUGCCCGGUGCCGGAAGGUUAAUUGAUGGGGUUAUCCGUAAGGAGAAGCUCUUGAUCGAAGCCCCGGUAAACGGCGGCCGUAACUAUAACGGUCCUAAGGUAGCGAAAUUCCUUGUCGGGUAAGUUCCGACCUGCACGAAUGGCGUAAUGAUGGCCAGGCUGUCUCCACCCGAGACUCAGUGAAAUUGAACUCGCUGUGAAGAUGCAGUGUACCCGCGGCAAGACGGAAAGACCCCGUGAACCUUUACUAUAGCUUGACACUGAACACUGGUCCUUGAUGUGUAGGAUAGGUGGGAGGCUUUGAAGUGUGGACGCCAGUCUGCAUGGAGCCAUCCUUGAAAUACCACCCUUUAAUGGCUGGUGUUCUAACGUGGACCCGUAAUCCGGGUUGCGGACAGUGUCUGGUGGGUAGUUUGACUGGGGCGGUCUCCUCCUAAAGAGUAACGGAGGAGCACGAAGGUUAGCUAAUCCUGGUCGGACAUCAGGAGGUUAGUGCAAAGGCAUAAGCUAGCUUGACUGCGAGAGUGACGGCUCGAGCAGGUGCGAAAGCAGGUCUUAGUGAUCCGGUGGUUCUGAAUGGAAGGGCCAUCGCUCAACGGAUAAAAGGUACUCCGGGGAUAACAGGCUGAUACCGCCCAAGAGUUCAUAUCGACGGCGGUGUUUGGCACCUCGAUGUCGGCUCAUCACAUCCUGGGGCUGAAGUAGGUCCCAAGGGUAUGGCUGUUCGCCAUUUAAAGUGGUACGCGAGCUGGGUUUAGAACGUCGUGAGACAGUUCGGUCCCUAUCUGCCGUGGGCGCUGGAGAAUUGAGGGGGGCUGCUCCUAGUACGAGAGGACCGGAGUGGACGCAUCACUGGUGUUCGGGUUGUCAUGCCAAUGGCAUUGCCCGGUAGCUAAAUGCGGAAGAGAUAAGUGCUGAAAGCAUCUAAGCACGAAACUUGUCCCGAGAUGAGUUCUCCCUGAGACUUUAAGUCUCCUGAAGGAACGUUGAAGACGACGACGUUGAUAGGUCGGGUGUGUAAGUGUAGCGAUACAUUGAGCUAACCGAUACUAAUGAACCGUGAGGCUUAACCUU